rnacentral:rRNA from 1 species
AAAUGCACAUACUGUGAGCUCGAUGAGUAGGGCGGGACACGUGGUAUCCUGUCUGAAUAUGGGGGGACCAUCCUCCAAGGCUAAAUACUCCUGACUGACCGAUAGUGAACCAGUACCGUGAGGGAAAGGCGAAAAGAACCCCGGCGAGGGGAGUGAAAAAGAACCUGAAACCGUGUACGUACAAGCAGUGGGAGCACGCUUAGGCGUGUGACUGCGUACCUUUUGUAUAAUGGGUCAGCGACUUAUAUUCUGUAGCAAGGUUAACCGAAUAGGGGAGCCGAAGGGAAACCGAGUCUUAACUGGGCGUUAAGUUGCAGGGUAUAGACCCGAAACCCGGUGAUCUAGCCAUGGGCAGGUUGAAGGUUGGGUAACACUAACUGGAGGACCGAACCGACUAAUGUUGAAAAAUUAGCGGAUGACUUGUGGCUGGGGGUGAAAGGCCAAUCAAACCGGGAGAUAGCUGGUUCUCCCCGAAAGCUAUUUAGGUAGCGCCUCGUGAAUUCAUCUCCGGGGGUAGAGCACUGUUUCGGCAAGGGGGUCAUCCCGACUUACCAACCCGAUGCAAACUGCGAAUACCGGAGAAUGUUAUCACGGGAGACACACGGCGGGUGCUAACGUCCGUCGUGAAGAGGGAAACAACCCAGACCGCCAGCUAAGGUCCCAAAGUCAUGGUUAAGUGGGAAACGAUGUGGGAAGGCCCAGACAGCCAGGAUGUUGGCUUAGAAGCAGCCAUCAUUUAAAGAAAGCGUAAUAGCUCACUGGUCGAGUCGGCCUGCGCGGAAGAUGUAACGGGGCUAAACCAUGCACCGAAGCUGCGGCAGCGACGCUGAUGCGUUGUUGGGUAGGGGAGCGUUCUGUAAGCCUGUGAAGGUGUGCUGUGAGGCAUGCUGGAGGUAUCAGAAGUGCGAAUGCUGACAUAAGUAACGAUAAAGCGGGUGAAAAGCCCGCUCGCCGGAAGACCAAGGGUUCCUGUCCAACGUUAAUCGGGGCAGGGUGAGUCGACCCCUAAGGCGAGGCCGAAAGGCGUAGUCGAUGGGAAACAGGUUAAUAUUCCUGUACUUGGUGUUACUGCGAAGGGGGGACGGAGAAGGCUAUGUUGGCCGGGCGACGGUUGUCCCGGUUUAAG